rnacentral:lncRNA from 10 species
CUGUACCUUCUAGCAUAGCUUUAGUCCAUAGAUAGUCCUUAGAUAUCUGUGAAUUCCAGAAUUCCCACUAGUGGACCUCAACCUUGGCUGCACCUCAAAAAUCACUUACAGAAGUUUAAAAAAAUGUAGAUGCUGUCACAUAUGCCAGAAUUUCUGAUUCAGUUUUUCUGAAGUGCUAUUCUGGUGUUCAUUUUCUAAAAUGUCCUCAUGGGUUAAAAUUCCUCAAAGUGUUGAGAAUCACUUAUUGACACAGAAUUUUAGAUCUUCAUCAAUUUACCAACCUCAGCUCUUUGACCUUAUCUUUUAUGACUCUCUAAUGCAAUCUUGCCUGUCUUCUUAUAUUUCCGUUAGUAAGGUUUCUUUUUUAUGCCAAUAAUCAUCGCUGACAUGAUUACCUGUCCACCCCUUAUCCUCCACUUACUUCAUGUUCCUUACUCCAAUUGUCUUCUUCUAACAAUUGAUUUAAGACUUAAUGUUCUUUAAAAGCCUUUCUUUCGCUUUAUUCCAUACAGAUCCUUUUGUUUGUUCAGAUGCUUGUAGUGCCAAAGUUUAUUUAAGGCACCUCCUUAUAGAUAGUUAUAUUAGAUUUUUAUUGCUGUAUAACAAAUUGCCACACACUUAGCAGCUUAUAACAAUACCGAUUUGUUAUCUCACAGUUCUAUAGGUCAAAAGUCUGGGCAGCCUGGAUGGUUUGCUUAGGGACUCACAAAACUGAAAUUAAGGUAUUGGGUAGGCUGGACUCUUAUCUGGUAUUCUAAGAAAUAAUCCACUUCCAAACUUAUUCUAACGGUUGGCAAAAUUCUGUUAUUUUCAGUUGUAGGACUGAGGCCAUGUUUUCCUUGAUGAAUUUCAGUCAGUAGUUGGUCUGGCUCUCCUAGCGCCUUUCCUGGAGGCUGCUCUCAGGUCCUUCCCACAUGCAAUGCAUGCCUCUUUUGCACUGAGUCUUUCUAAUGCUUCGAGUCUCUCUGAUUUCCUCCUCUACUAGUCAGAGAAAAUUCUCUGCUUUUAAAAGACCCAUAUGAAUAGUAAAUCCAGGUGGCUGCCUGUGGAUAUCUCAUCUCAUGCUGUGACUCCAGCCAUGCCUUGCCCCUCACCAGCUCUGACACCAGCAGAAGGAGGAGAUAUGGCAUAAGCCUGGACAACAGAUGCUUCUCUAAGAUGUGGACUCUUGAAUGAGAAACACAAGGAUAGAAGGAAUGGUUGAAACAUACUUUAAAUGGAUGAGUGGUAUGCUCUUGAAUUAUAUCUCAAUAAAGCUGUUUUUUUUAAAAAAAGAUACUAUGUGAUCAUUCCUGCCAUCCCUGCUUCCUAGUCUUCCAGAGCAGUUAUGCUCCCUUUGGCUUUCGAGGUUUAAUUCUUGAGACUCCUCUUAAUGAGUCCAGCAUACAUUCAGCAAAUUACUUUUUGCUUUAAGUAGCCUAAAUCUUUAUCUUGUGGCUUGCAAGUUAGAAACUAACUAUAUAAUAUCAAUUUCAAGUCUACAUUAAUAACAAUGAAAACAAUGGCUUCUUUGGAAGUGACCUAUUUUCAACAUAAUCUAACAUUAAUUCACAAACUGGUGGCAUAUAUUUGAUUAUCUAUCAUUAUUCCAUAAUUCAUUUCUGUAAGGUUAUGUUCAUUAUUAUUAUAUUUUUCCAGGUCAUCAUGUAUUUUAGAAUGAUACUAGUUAAAUUCUCUGAAAGCUAAUUAUUCAACUCCUUACUAAAAAAAUUCACACAUCAUUUAAAUCACUUGAGUCAUUGGAAAGUUUACAAGGCUAACAGAAAAAUAAUAUA